rnacentral:lncRNA from 1 species
GAAGAAAUGACAUCAAAGAUGUACAAAGUUAUCAUCAGAAAAACAAUGAAGGCCAGGUGCGGUGGCUCACGCCUGUAAUCCCAGCAAUCUCAUCUCUACAAAAAAUAAAAAAUAAAAAAUCAGCCAGAUAUGGGAUCUUGCUAUGUUGCCCAGGCUGGUCUCAAACUCUUAGCACCAAGCAACCCUCCUGCCUCAGCCUCCCAAAUUCCUAGGAUUACAGGCACAUCACAGCCUUCUUGCUCUUAGGAACACUAGCCAGCACGAAAUCACUGUGCUUGGGGCCUUUUCAACAGCAAAAUCAACAGGAAGCACACAAAUGUGGCAAAAUGACACUAACUAGACCAUGCUAAGGAAGCUUGUUCACAGCGUGAGCCGAAACAAGAAAGCCGAGCAUCGCCUUGUUCCACCUCAGCUGGUAACGUGCAUUUGGGCAACUCAAAUCUUGUGUCACUCAUGCAUGCCUGUGAAUUACCUCAAAAGCACUGUCUCCAAGGAAUGCUGUUUCCUGCCUGUCGUGAGAGACACAAAGUGAACUUAGUGUUGGGAGAUGGAAGCUGGAUGGCUCUCAGGGGCUGACCCGCAGGGUGCCGGACUUCGGGAUAUAGCAGAGAGAGCUUGGCAUGACUUAUUACUCCAGGCUGUAGAAUCCUGGAAAAGAGCUACCAUGCAGCCUACACCUGGUCUACUGGAGGACCACCUUAGUGGAAACGAGACAAUCUGGGCCUCUGGCCUGCCAUGUGCACAAGAAUAACAAUUGCUUUUGUUUAACAUGCAGAAGGAAUAUUUGAUCAAUUUUAACCAGCUGCAGGCCUGAGUGGACUGCUCCCGGGAAGCCACUUUCAUGGCGUCCCCUCU